rnacentral:rRNA from 1 species
CAGCGGCGGACGGGUGAGUAACACGUGGGUAAUCUGCCCAACUGACUGGAAUAACGCCUGGAAACGGGUGCUAAUGCCGGAUAGGCAACUGGUAGGCAUCUACCGGUUGGGAAAGGUGCAACUGCACCGCAGAUGGAGGAGCCCGCGGCGCAUUAGCUAGUUGGUGGGGUAACGGCCCACCAAGGCGACGAUGCGUAGCCGACCUGAGAGGGUGACCGGCCACACUGGGACUGAGACACGGCCCAGACUCCUACGGGAGGCAGCAGUAGGGAAUCUUCGGCAAUGGGCGAAAGCCUGACCGAGCAACGCCGCGUGAGCGAAGAAGGCCUUCGGGUUGUAAAGCUCAGUCACCCGGGAAGAGCGGGCAGGAGAGGGAAUGCUCCUGUCGAGACGGUACCGGGAGAGGAAGCCCCGGCUAACUACGUG